UGAACCGGAAGUUAACCGCGGGCCCCGCCUGUCGCGCCGUGGGAGGCAGCCUGGGACCGGCCCACGGAGUUGCAGCCGCCCAUCGCUCCCUCCUUGCGGACAUCAUGCUCCAGUUCCUGCUUGGAUUUACUCUCGGCAACGUGGUUGGAAUGUAUCUGGCUCAGAACUAUGACAUACCAAACCUGGCUAAAAAACUUGAAGACAUUAAAAAGGACCUGGAUGCCAAGAAGAAACCCCCUAGUUCAUGAGGCCGACUCCAGCCCUGCCUUCUGGAUUCUCCUAUUGUCGAGGGCCUCCUUUACUGUCUGAACCAAAAGCUUUUGUUUUAAUUUCCAGCCUCAGCAGUUUUCUUCAUUGUGUUGCCUUAGAGCGCAAAUGGGGCCACAAGUUACGAACUACCCUUAAUUUUCCAACAGCAUCACUUCUUCCCUUGCUCCUUCCAGCCACUUGGGAGGCCCUGAAACUGGAAUUAUGGUGCUAGAUUAGUAAACAUGACCUUUAAUUAGUA